GCGCCGAAAAUUUAACGGGGCUAAACUAUACACCGAAGCUUAGGAUACCGCAAGGUAUGGUAGGAGAGCGUUCUGUACGGAGUGAAGUCGUAGCGAAAGCGGCGGUGGACUGUACAGAAGUGAGAAUGCCGGAAUAAGUAGCGAGAAUUAAGUGAGAAUCUUAAUGGCCGAAAGUCUAAGGUUUUUGGAGGAAGGUUCGUCCGCUCCAAGUAAGUCGGGAGCUAAGGUCAGGCCGAAAGGCGUAGCCGAUGCACAAACGGUUGAUAUUCCGUUACCGUCUACAAUUUAAACAAAGGGACACAUACAAAGCGUUUAACCCGGGCGAUGGUUGACCCGGGCGCAAGGGACUGAAAUAAGAGUAGGGAAGUAAAUGUGGCGUAUGGCGAGAAAAGCUUUGUGAAUAGAAGUAGACGCCCGUACCGCAAACCGACACAGGUGGACAGGAAGAGAAUUCUAAGGCCAGCGGGAGAAGGGUAGUUAAGGAACUCGGCAAAUUGACUCCGUAACUUCGGAAUAAGGAGUGCUCGAAAGAGCCGCAGAGAAUAGGCCCAGGCGACUGUUUAGCAAAAACACAGGUCUCUGCCAAAUCGAAAGAUGAAGUAUAGGGGCUGACACCUGCCCGGUGCCGGAAGGUUAAGAGGAGGAGUGCAAGCUCCGAAUUGAAGCCCCGGUAAACGGCGGCCGUAACUAUAACGGUCCUAAGGUAGCGAAAUUCCUUGUCGGGUAAGUUCCGACCCGCACGAAUGGUGUAACGAUCUGGGCACUGUCUCAACUACCCACCCGGCGAAAUUGUAGUACCGGUGAAGAUGCCGGUUACCCGCGACUAGACGGAAAGACCCCAUGGAGCUUUACUGUAGCCUGAUAUUGGGUUUCGGAAAUCUAUGUACAGGAUAGGCGGGAGACUGGGAAGUAUGAGCGUCAGCUUAUACGGAGUCAUUGUUGGGAUACCGCCCUUAGGUUUCUGGAAUUCUAACCUGCGACCGUGAAUCCGGUCGGGGGACAUUGUCAGGUGGGCAGUUUGACUGGGGCGGUCGCCUCCGAAAAGGUAACGGAGGCGCUCAAAGGUUGGCUCAGCACGGACGGAAACCGUGCCUCUGAGUGUAAACGCAAAAGCCAGCCUAACUGCGAGGAUGACGGUCCGAGCAGUAACGAAAGUUGGAGUUAGUGAUCCGGCGGUAU
rnacentral:rRNA from 1 species